CGGGAGGCAGCAGCAGUUAGGUAUAUUUUGCAAUGCACGAAAGUGUGACAAAGCGAGCCAGAGUGCUUUUCUAUUUGAAAAGCUUUUGCCAAAUCUAAAAAUUUUGGCGAAUAAGGACUGGGUAAGACGAGUGCCAGCCGCCGCGGUAAUACUCGCGGUCCAAGUCGCAGCCAUUUUUAUUGGGUCUAAAACAUCCGUAGCUUGCUGAGAUAAGUUUCUUGUGAAAUCUUAUAUCUUAAGUAUAGGGCGCGCAGGAAGUACUGUCUAGCUAGAGACUGGAAGACAUAAGGAGUGCGAUUAAAGUAGUAGUAAAAUACAUUAAUCUUAAUCGGACUAACAAGAGCGAAGGCACCUUAUGAGGACAGUUCUGACAGUGAGGGAUGAAGGCUAGGGGCGCGAAAAGGAUUAGAUACCCUAGUAGUC
rnacentral:rRNA from 1 species